UUCGGGGACAUUGGUGACAGGUGGUGCAUGGUUGUCGUCAGCUCGUGUCGUGAGAUGUUGGGUUAAGUCCCGCAACGAGCGCAACCCUUGUCUUUAGUUGCCAUCAUUAAGUUGGGCACUCUAGAGAGACUGCCAGGGAUAACCUGGAGGAAGGUGGGGAUGACGUCAAAUCAUCAUGCCCCUUAUGCUUAGGGCUACACACGUGCUACAAUGGGUAGUACAGAGGGUUGCCAAGCCGUAAGGUGGAGCUAAUCCCUUAAAGCUACUCUCAGUUCGGAUUGUAGGCUGAAACUCGCCUACAUGAAGCUGGAGUUACUAGUAAUCGCAGAUCAGAAUGCUGCGGUGAAUGCGUUCCCGGGUCUUGUACACACCGCCCGUCACACCACGGGAGUUGGAGACGCCCGAAGCCGAUUAGCUAACCUUUUGGAAGAAGUCGUCGAAGGUGGAAUCAAUAACUGGGGUGAAGUCGUAACAAGGUAGCCGUAUCGGAAGGUGCGGCUGGAUCACCUCCUUUCUAAGGA
rnacentral:rRNA from 1 species